rnacentral:other from 1 species
UUAAACCUGCUAUGUUUGUGAUAGAGUGAUGUAUUCGAGCUACACUUAUUAAAAGGAGUCUUAUAUCCUAUACCGGUGUGCAGGCCUCCUAUCCCCCUCCUCUUAAUGAGACGCAAGUCGGACGAGGGAGCGAUAGACGUUGGAAGCAGAAAAGGUAUUAUGCGGACGCCACCUUGUUUAGAACAAGGUUCAAAUGGUUACUCUACACGGCACGGUGGGCUAAUA